rnacentral:rRNA from 1 species
AGAGUUUGAUCCUGGCUCAGGACGAACGCUGGCGGCGUGCUUAACACAUGCAAGUCGAGCGGUAAGGCCUUUCGGGGUACACGAGCGGCGAACGGGUGAGUAACACGUGGGUGAUCUGCCCUGCACUUCGGGAUAAGCCUGGGAAACUGGGUCUAAUACCGGAUAUGACCUCCUAUCGCAUGGUGGGUGGUGGAAAGAUUUAUCGGUGCAGGAUGGGCCCGCGGCCUAUCAGCUUGUUGGUGGGGUAAUGGCCUACCAAGGCGACGACGGGUAGCCGACCUGAGAGGGUGACCGGCCACACUGGGACUGAGACACGGCCCAGACUCCUACGGGAGGCAGCAGUGGGGAAUAUUGCACAAUGGGCGAAAGCCUGAUGCAGCGACGCCGCGUGAGGGAUGACGGCCUUCGGGUUGUAAACCUCUUUCAGCAGGGACGAAGCGCAAGUGACGGUACCUGCAGAAGAAGCACCGGCUAACUACGUGCCAGCAGCCGCGGUAAUACGUAGGGUGCAAGCGUUGUCCGGAAUUACUGGGCGUAAAGAGUUCGUAGCGGUUUGUCGCGUCGUUUGUGAAAACCAGCAGCUCAACUGCUGGCUUGCAGGCGAUACGGGCAGACUUGAGUACUGCAGGGAGACUGGAAUUCCUGGUGUAGC